rfam:Schistosoma margrebowiei strain Zambia genome assembly, scaffold: SMRZ_contig0013715
AUCCAGCUGACGAGUCCCAAACAGGACGAAACGCGUGGCCUGGAU